GAGAUGUCUGUGGCACAUCCCCACAGAUAACUUUAGAUUUGUUGAGGGUGAGCUCAAAGAAUUACACCAGGGAAGCCCAAUUCUGAUACUUGGAUUCUGUCUCCCUAAAGCUCUUCACCCUUUGGUUUUCGGUCUUUCUCCAGGUUCAAUUGUUGCUCUUCCCUUGACUGCAUUAUUGAAAAUGGGUUCUUUGGCUUUCAACUAAUAUUCAAUGCCAAGG